GAUGAACGCUAGCGGCAGGCUUAACACAUGCAAGUCGAGGGGUAGAGGUUGCUUGCAACCUUGAGACCGGCGCACGGGUGCGUAACGCGUAUGCAACCUACCUUUUACAGAGGGAUAGCCCAGAGAAAUUUGGAUUAAUACCUCAUAGUAUAUAACCUUCGCAUGUUGGUUAUAUUAAAGUUUCAACGGUAAAAGAUGGGCAUGCGUCCUAUUAGCUAGAUGGUAAGGUAACGGCUUACCAUGGCAACGAUAGGUAGGGGUCCUGAGAGGGAGAUCACCCACACUGGUACUGAGACACGGACCAGACUCCUACGGGAGGCAGCAGUGAGGAAUAUUGGACAAUGGGCGCAAGCCUGAUCCAGCCAUGCCGCGUGCAGGAAGAAGCAUCUAUGGUGUGUAAACUGCUUUUGUACAGGAAGAAACACCCCGACGUGUCGGGACUUGACGGUACUGUAAGAAUAAGGAUCGGCUAACUCCGUGCCAGCAGCCGCAGUAA
rnacentral:rRNA from 1 species